UUAUAAUCAAUUAUCGAUUUAUCGAUUUAGGUUGUGUUCUUCGGAACCAAUAGGCUUGAUUCGUGAGAAUUGAGAUAUUAUCAGCGUUUAUGAUCCAAAUCAUGUUAUUGUACAUCUAGGUACAUAACCCGCACAAGGGGGAGUGUUAUAGGGCUUAUAGCCCGUUGAUGUGCGGCCCAAUAUAGUGUCUAGGGUCUUCUUCCUACUUGUAUAUAAAGGAAAAUAUUUAUGUAA